rnacentral:rRNA from 1 species
AUUGAACGCUGGCGGCAGGCCUAACACAUGCAAGCCGAACGGUAGCACAGAGAGCUUGCUCUCGGGUGACGAGUGGCGGACGGGUGAGUAACGUCUGGGAAACUGCCCGAUGGAGGGGGAUAACUACUGGAAACGGUAGCUAAUACCGCAUAACGUCGCAAGACCAAAGUGGGGGCCCUUCGGGCCUCACACCAUCGGAUGUGCCCAGAUGGGAUUAGCUAGUAGGUGGGGUAAUGGCUCACCUAGGCGACGAUCCCUAGCUGGUCUGAGAGGGAGACCAGCCACACUGGAACUGAAACACGGUCCAGACUCCUACGGGAGGCAGCAGUGGGUAAUAGUGCACAAUGGGCGCAAGCCUGAUGCAGCCAUGACGCGUGUAUGAAGAAGGCCUUCGGGUUGUAAAGUACUUUCAGCGGGGAGGAAGGCGGUGAAGUUAAUAACUUCACCGAUUGACGUUACCCGCAGAAGAAGCACCGGCUAACUCCGUGCCAGCCGCCGCCGUAA